UACGUAGGCAGCAAGCGUUGUUCGGAGUUACUGGGCGUAAAGGGUGUGUAGGCGGUUGUUUAAGUUUGGUGUGAAAUCUCCCGGCUCAACUGGGAGGGUGCGCCGAAUACUGAAUGACUUCGAGUGCGGGAGAGGAGAGUGGAAUUCCUGGUGUAGCGGUGAAAUGCGUAGAUAUCAGGAAGAACACCAAUGGCGAAGGCAGCUCUCUGGGACGGUACUGACGCUGAGACGCGAAAGCGUGGGGAGCGAACAGG
rnacentral:rRNA from 1 species